rnacentral:sRNA from 1 species
ACAGGUGAAGAUUCUGGGGUGGGCGAAACCUCCAAAAGACCAUUUUCCCAUGACAAUGCAGAUUUUGGCAAAGCUGCAUCUGCUGGUGAGCAGCUAGAACUGGAGAAGCUAAAACUUACUUAUGAGGAAAAGUGUGAAAUUGAGGAAUCCCAAUUGAAGUUUUUGAGGUAAAGUGAAAUCGUCCAUUUAUAGUCAUACCAAAAGCAUAAUGAUCUUAAAAUAUAUUUGAAUGUUUGCUGAACUUCUAGUUUUAGUCAUUAUCAGACUUACUUGAUGACAUUUUAUAUACACUUUAAAAAAUUUCCUCAGAUUAUUAAAGGAUAAAAGGCCUAAAAUUGAGUUCUUUUCCAAAUCACAUUCCCAUUUCUUCAUCAGUUGUAAAAUAUUUGUGUUUUCUUGUAGAAAUAAGAAUCACGGCCGGGCGCGGUGGCUCACGCCUGUAAUCCCAGCACUUUGGGAGGCUGAAGCGGGUGAAUCACGAGGUCAAGAGAUUGAGACCAUCCUGGCCAACAUGGUGAAACCCCGUUUCUACUAAAAAUACAAAAAUUAGCUGGGCCUGGUGGCACGUGCCUGUAGUCCCAGCUACUUGGGAGGCUGAGGCAGGAGAAUCGCUUGAACCCGGGAGGGGGAGGUUGCAGUAAGCUGAGACCACGCCACUGCACUCCAACAUGGCAACAGAGUGAGACUCCAUUUCAAAAAAGAAAAAAAAAAAGAAAAAGAAAUAAGAAUCACUAACUGCUCUUAUAGAAAUUAUGAUAUUCAAGUAAAAUAAUGAAAAUAAAGCACUUUAGUUUUCAAAUUAUUAGUAUUUUUUCUCUGUAGAUAGUCUUCAUCUAAUUUUAAAAUUGCAAUGAUAAUAGAAUAGUUUGAGUAUUUGUAUACAUGAUGAAUUUGAGUAUAUAUGAUGAAUAUUCAUGUACUUUUUAUAGAAUCUAUUUAUUAGAGAUCCCA